GAUGAACGCUAGCGAUAGGCUUAACACAUGCAAGUCGAGGGGCAGCACAAGGUAGCUUGCUCUCUGGGUGGCGACCGGCGCACGGGUGCGUAACGCGUAUGCAACUUGCCCUAUACAGGAGGAUAACCCGUCGAAAGACGGACUAAUACUGCGUAUGCUCACAACUUGGCAUCAAGUGGUGAGGAAAGAAAUUCGGUAUAGGAUAGGCAUGCGUCCCAUUAGCUUGUUGGUGAGGUAACGGCUCACCAAGGCAACGAUGGGUAGGGGAACUGAGAGGUUUAUCCCCCACACUGGUACUGAGACACGGACCAGACUCCUACGGGAGGCAGCAGUGAGGAAUAUUGGUCAAUGGGCGCGAGCCUGAACCAGCCAAGUCGCGUGAAGGAUGACUGUCUUAUGGAUUGUAAACUUCUUUUAGACGGGAAUAACAAGAGUCACGUGUGGCUCCCUGCAUGUACCGUAUGAAUAAGCAUCGGCUAACUCCGUG
rnacentral:rRNA from 1 species